rnacentral:rRNA from 1 species
CGUUGAAACACCGGUUCCCGUAUGAUCACCGAAGUUAAGCAACAUCUAGCCUGGUCUGUACGUAGAUAGGUGACCGCUUUUGAAUACUAAGCGCUGUAAG